GAUGAAGAACGCAGCGAAAUGCGAUACUUGGUGUGAAUUGCAGAAUCCCGUGAACCAUCGAGUCUUUGAACGCAAGUUGCGCCCGAAGCCUCGGCUAAGGGCACGUCUGCCUGGGCGUCACGCAUCGCGUCUCCCCCAAACCGCCAAGGCGGAGGGGAAGGAAGAUGCCUUCCCGUGCCUCACCCGGGCGCGGUUGGCCUAAAUUUGGAGCCCGCGGCACUUAGCUCUCGCGGCGAUAGGUGGUGAACAAGGCCUUGGCCGUGCAAACAACCCGCUGCGAAGCUCUAUGUCACGUGCGCUCGUCGGACCCUUUGAAGUUGCCUUUGGUGACUUAAAACCUUUGCGACCCCAGGUCAGGCGGGGCUACCCGCUGAAUUUAAGCAUAUCAAUAAGCGGAGGA
rnacentral:misc_RNA from 1 species